rnacentral:rRNA from 1 species
GACGAACGCUGGCGGCGUGCCUAAUACAUGCAAGUAGAACGCUGAAGAGAGGAGCUUGCUCUUCUUGGAUGAGUUGCGAACGGGUGAGUAACGCGUAGGUAACCUGCCUGGUAGCGGGGGAUAACUAUUGGAAACGAUAGCUAAUACCGCAUAACAACAGUUGUUGCAUGACAGCUGUUUAAAAGAUGCAAUUGCAUCACUACCAGAUGGACCUGCGUUGUAUUAGCUAGUUGGUGAGGUAACGGCUCACCAAGGCGACGAUACAUAGCCGACCUGAGAGGGUGAUCGGCCACACUGGGACUGAGACACGGCCCAGACUCCUACGGGAGGCAGCAGUAGGGAAUCUUCGGCAAUGGGGGGAACCCUGACCGAGCAACGCCGCGUGAGUGCAGAAGGUUUUCGGAUCGUAAAGCUCUGUUGUAAGAGAAGAACGGGUGUGAGAGUGGAAAGUUCACACUGUGACGGUAUCUUACCAGAAAGGGACGGCUAACUACGUG